rnacentral:lncRNA from 1 species
GGGUGUGAAGUGUACAUGGGGUCUAAGUUCGAGUGGUGGCGCAUCAAAAAGGGAGUAUUUAUUUUGCUGCCUAAUUCAUGUGGCUGGUAGAGUUGGACUGAAAUACUACUAAAUAGAGUUUGAACUGGUCAUAUAGAGAAUUGAGGAGGGAUAUUUGGAGAGAUUUGAGGAGAGAAUAUUGGGAUUUGGGGAGGUUGUUGUUGUG